UGAAUACCAGAGUCUGUUCUGAACAGCACAUAAAGCCAAAGUCCGGUUUCUAUACAGCUCAAUUACAGUGUGUCCUCAAGUUUAAUGCACUGCAAUUGAUAAAAUGCAUGUAACUUAAUAGUAUUUUUUUUCAGGAAGGAAAAAAGAAGAAGCAUUGACGGUGCCUGCUAACAGUGACGUGCAUCACAGCAUUAACAGGGAGCUGAAUCACAGAAAGGAUGCAUCACACCAGCUUUCUGCCACCCGCCCGCUCCGUGGCAUCCAUGGCUGCACCCCACCUGUGGGCUGCACUCUGUGGCAGCAGCUGCUGCCUCCUCUUGUCUGCCCAGCUUGCUUGAGCUGGUAAAAGCACUCAGAGCUUGAAGUGGAGCGUCCUGUUCUGCCUGAACAUCUGACCUGCUGUCCAAGGUGUCCAUGAGCCCUGCAUGGAGGGAGACAGAGUUCUCAAACUCUGUAGCUGUGUGCGAGAGUAAUGUUGACCACAAGGGCCAGGACACUUGUGUAGCUCGACUUAGUCAGGGAAGCUUGCUCUGUCUCCAGCUGCUCAAAGUCAGGCCUGGCUGAGCACCACCACCUCAGGGAGGAACCUAGGACAAUCACAGCCGGGAGCCCCAGAAUCAGCUGCCCUGGGGACACUGGGCUGGUGCCAGGUCCGCAAGUGGUGUGGCCUUCUUCAUGUUGUCCUUCCUUGAGGCCAAGAAAAGCACUUAUCAGAUGGAGAAAAGCAUAUACAUAUAACAAUGUUUUGGUCAAUGGCAGACCACCAAUUCAAUGGUGGUCCCAUGAGAUGGCACUAAAGCUGAAGAAUUCCUAUUGCCUAGUAAAACUGUAGGCACCAAAUCAGACUCCCUUGGAGCUGGACUGCAACUGCGAGGAAGGAGAAUUCAGAAGCUGCCUUCUUGGUCCCCUGAGCACACUGUGGAUGGGUAAAACUUGACUCACCAAUUUCUCUCCCCUGCAGGAACCAAGCAGCCUUAGCAGCCAAUGCCUGACAUCCCCUUCUGUCCUGGGCCUGAGGCCUGUAGCUGAGAGCACCCUUCACCCACCUUAGGUCUGGGCUGUUGCCCUUACUGUACCCCCCAGCCAGGCACCUGGGUUAUGUGCCUGCCUCUUCCCUAAUCAUUGCCACCAAAAAAGGAACUCUUUCAGGAAAAAUAAAAGAAACAUUUCCACAAAUCAUUGAGAAAAAGACCAGUAUCCCAAUAGAAUUUUUUAAAAACACCUGAAUAAACAUUUCAGGAAAAAUGUUACCCAAAUGGCCGAAAGAUGUUGACCUCCAAGAUUCAUCAGAGAAAUGCAAAAUUCACAAAGCAAUGCCAGUACCACAGUAGCCUCUGUAGUGUCCCCCCUUCCACCUUUGGAACCAAAGCUCUCCCCGGCUGCUGGGAGUGUUGGCUGCUGAGGCUCGCAGCCUAGUUCCUCUUCUUAGUGACUGCCCUCUGCUGAAAAGAUCUGCCUGGCCCGAAGGCCCCUCUCCCUUAGGAGAAGCCUGCAUUCAAGCAUGCAAGCUCAUUCUCCAGCCCCAAUUUAAGACAAUUCUAAGAGAUCAUCCCAGUUUCAGAGUUCUCCGUGGGACUGACUGCGGUCUUUGGUGUGACUGCUUUGCAACCCAACCUUUCCUUUCGAUUAGGAUAUUUGUCUUUUCUUACAGACAGUAGGAGUUCUUUAUGUGUGUAUUAUAUAUUCUGGAUAGUCCUUUGAGAUAUAGAUUCAGAAAUAUGUAAAAAUGUAUAUCCCAAAGGAUUAGUCAGAGUAUGUAAAUAACUUCUGCUUCUUCCCGAUGAACUCCAAGGAGCUGAAACCGGAAAGGAUGCAUCACACCAGCUUUCUGCCACCCCAGCCCCUGCCUCUUUGACUGCAGUAAACUUCUUGCAUGCUAUCAUUUAUCUUAGAGUAUGCUACCCAAGAAAUGCAACCCUAAACUAUGUACCACUAGAAUGGCUAAGAUGAAAAAUGCAGACCAUGCCACAUGCUGAUGAGGGUGUAGACCAACCAGCUUUCUCAUGGACCGGGGGUAGGGGUACAAAUUGUACAACCACUUUGGAAAUCAGUAUGGCAGGGUAGUAGUAUCUAUGGUAGCUGAACAUUAUAAUUAUAAGCACAGAUAAGGCAUAUACAGUCAUGUGUCAUAUAAUAAUGUUUUGGUUAACUGUGGACAACAUUUGCAAGAGUGGUCCCAUAGGGUUAUAAUGAAGCUGAAAUAUCCCUAUCACCUAGUGACAUAGUAACUACUAUAAUGUCAGAGCAUGAUACACUAAUUAUAUAUUUGUGGUAAUAUCAGUGUAAAUAAAUUCACUGAGCUUCCAGUUGUCUAAAAGUAUAGCAUACAUUAUGUACAAUAUGUAAUACUUCAUAGUGAUAAUAAACAACUAUGCUACUGGUUUAUGUUUUUACUAUA